AUUGAACGCUGGCGGCAGGCUUAACACAUGCAAGUCGAGGGGUAUAGGUUUUCGGACCUAGAGACCGGCGCACGGGUGCGUAACGCGUAUGCAAUCUACCUUUCACAGAGGGAUAGCCCAGAGAAAUUUGGAUUAAUACCUCAUAGUAUAGCAGUUUCGCAUGAAACCACUAUUAAAGUAUCAACGGUGAAAGAUGAGCAUGCGUCCCAUUAGCUAGAUGGUAAGGUAACGGCUUACCAUGGCUACGAUGGGUAGGGGUCCUGAGAGGGAGAUCCCCCACACUGGUACUGAGACACGGACCAGACUCCUACGGGAGGCAGCAGUGAGGAAUAUUGGUCAACGGACGCAAGUCUGAACCAGCCAUGCCGCGUGCAGGAUGACGGUCCUAUGGAUUGUAAACUGCUUUUGUACGAGAAGAAACAACAUUACGUGUAAUGUCUUGACGGUAUCGUAAGAAUAAGGAUCGGCUAACUCCGUGCCAGCCGCCGCCGUAACAC
rnacentral:rRNA from 1 species